rnacentral:lncRNA from 1 species
GACUACGCCUGACUGCAGUACGAGGCAAACAUGCUAUUUUCCAAUUUUUUCCUGCCGAAAGUGAGCUGUUCUUAUCUCGAAAACUAAAUAAUCAAGCAUUUCUCUUGCUUGGGAUGAUGGGAAGUCUACGAGCUGGAUUGAUUUGACGCGGCCAAAAAGUGCACGCUUCAAAUCAAUGCCUUUUUUUAGAUCGCUUCCAAUCAAUCGCUAUAGCACAAAUAUAUAUCCGUACAUAGUCC